rnacentral:rRNA from 1 species
GACGUAGGAGGCGAGCGUUGUCCGGAUUCAUUGGGCGUAAAGAGCGCGCAGGCGGCUUGGUAAGUCGGAUGUGAAAUCCCCGAGGCUCAACCUCGGGUCUGCAUCCGAUACUGCCCGGCUAGAGGUAGGUAGGGGGAGAUCGGAAUUCCUGGUGUAGCGGUGAAAUGCGCAGAUAUCAGGAGGAACACCAAUGGCGAAGGCAGCACUCUGGGACGUGACUGACGCUGAGACGCGAAAGCGUGGGGAGCAAACAGG